CUGUGAAAUCUUUGUCUGUGUCUUCAACUGACUUCUGGGGCAGGAUCUCCACCCGACCCUCCUCCACGCCAACCACCUCCGCCACAGCCCCUAUCUCUGUGACACCUGCCUCAUUUGCAUGCUGCGCUUCUGAUUGGAUGACAGAAGGUUUACCUGCACUGCUGUGGCCAAUUACUGGGAGUGUUGGAGUGAACCUGUUUGGCUAUUUUCUACAUGGACCGUGGACCAAUGAAUGAUUAAAUAUA